rnacentral:rRNA from 1 species
UACGGGGGGAGCAAGCGUUGUUCGGAUUUACUGGGCGUAAAGGGCGCGUAGGCGGCCACCGCAAGUCAGUUGUGAAAUCUCUGGGCUUAACCCAGAACGGUCAGCUGAUACUGCGGGGCUAGAGUGCAGAAGGGGCAACUGGAAUUCCGGGUGUGAGCGGUGGAAUGCGUAGAGAUCCGGAAGAACACCGGUGGCGAAGGCGGCCCGCUGGGCAGUGACUGACGCUGAGGCGCGACAGCGUGGGGAGCAAACAGG